rnacentral:rRNA from 1 species
GAUGAACGCUAGCGGCAGGCCUAACACAUGCAAGUCGAGGGCAGCACGUCUUCGGAUGGUGGCGACCGGCGCACGGGUGCGUAACGCGUAUGCAACCUACCUCUUACAGUGGGAUAGCCCAGAGAAAUUUGGAUUAAUACCGCAUAGUAUACAGAUUCAGCAUUGGGACUGUAUUAAACAUUUAUGGGUAAGAGAUGGGCAUGCGUUCUAUUAGUUAGAUGGAGUGGUAACGGCACCCCAAGACAGCGAUAGAUAGGGCCCUGAGAGGGGGAUCCCCGACACUGGUACUGAGACACGGACCAGACUCCUACGGGAGCAGCAGUGAGG